rnacentral:misc_RNA from 1 species
CAUCCUCUCAACUCUCAUUUCAUACCUCUGUAGAGAAUAGAGAUCACUGUUCUGCUCUGUGGAACAACCUCCUUAAUCAUGGCGCUCCGUGGAUCUACCUUCUGCUACAAAGUAAAUUUUAUUGAUAGGCGGCUGCCAUGUUCUUGCAUUAAUCGUUUCAAGAGGCUUCCCCAUCACAAGGACAAUCACUUGUUCUUGCCUGCUACUUCUGCAACGCAUUAUUUUCCUCUCAAGCUGCACAUUGAAGGAAGAACUCCACUUUUUAGAAAAACAUCCCGGUUGUUGUCACUAAGAGCAUGUCAAGUAACAAGCGAAGACUCGGAGGAAAUUAUAAGUGGUGAAAGCAUCAUAUGGGAUGAGCAAGCCUUAAUGCGGGAUCUACAGAUUGCCAUUGAAGAAGAGAAUUAUGCCCAAGCUGCAAAACUCAGGGAUAGCCUUAGAAUACUCCAGGAGGAUAGUAAGGCUUCAGUACUGGCAGCAAAUGCUCGUUUUUAUAAUGCAUUCAGGAAUGGGGACUUGGCUUCCAUGCAGUCCCUCUGGGCAAAAGGAGAUAACGUUUGUUGUGUACACCCAGGAGCCAGUGGGGUUACUGGUUAUGAUGAUGUUAUGGAAUGCUGGGAACUUGUGUGGAUGAACUAUGAUUUCCCACUGGAGAUUCAGUUGAAGAAUGCUCGAGUUCAUUUUAAGGGUGAUGUCGGUUAUGUAACUUGUGUGGAAUUUGUUAGGACAAAAGGCAGCAGCUGGGGGGCGC